rnacentral:rRNA from 1 species
AGAGUUUGAUCAUGGCUCAGGACGAACGCUGGCGGCGCGCUUAAGACAUGCAAGUCGAGCGAGGGGAGGGCUUCGGCCCGAACCUAGCGGCGGACGGGUGAGUAACACGUGGGCAACCUACCUACCAGACGGGGAUAACUCCGGGAAACCGGGGCUAAUACCGGGUACGCUUGCGAGGUCGCAUGGCCUUGUAAGGAGAGGAGCAAUCCGCUGGUAGAUGGGCCCGCGGGCCAUUAGCUAGUUGGCGGGGUAAAGGCCCACCAAGGCGACGAUGGCUAGCCGGCCUGAGAGGGUGAACGGCCACACUGGGACUGAGACACGGCCCAGACUCCUACGGGAGGCAGCAGUCGGGAAUUUUGGGCAAUGGGGGAAACCCUGACCCAGCGACGCCGCGUGUGCGAAGAAGGCCUUCGGGUUGUAAAGCACUGUCUUGGGGGACGAAGAAAGUGACGGUACCCCAGGAGGAAGCCCCGGCUAACUACGUGCCAGCAGCCGCGGUAAUACGUAGGGGGCGAGCGUUGUUCGGAAUUACUGGGCGUAAAGGGCGUCUAGGCGGUUGUUUAAGUCUGGCGUGAAAACCAGCAGCUUAACUGCUGGUGUGCGUCGGAAACUGGGCAACUUGAGGGCAGGAGAGGGAAGCGGAAUUCCUGGUGUAGCGGUGAAAUGCGUAGAUAUCAGGAGGAACACCAGUGGCGAAGGCGGCUUCCUGGACUGUACCUGACGCUGAAGCGCGAAAGCGUGGGGAGCGAACGGGAUUAGAUACCCCGGUAGUCCACGCCGUAAACGAUGAGUGCUAGGUGUGGGAGGUAUCGACCCCUUCCGUGCCGGAGCUAACGCACUAAGCACUCCGCCUGGGGAGUACGGCCGCAAGGCUGAAACUCAAAGGAAUUGACGGGGGCCCGCACAAGCAGUGGAGCAUGUGGUUUAAUUCGACGCAACGCGAAGAACCUUACCAGGGCUUGACAUCCUCGGAAAGUGCUAGAGAUAGUGCCCUCCUUCGGGACCGAGUAACAGGUGCUGCAUGGUUGUCGUCAGCUCGUGUCGUGAGAUGUUGGGUUAAGUCCCGCAACGAGCGCAACCCCUGUUCCGUGUUACCAGCAUUAAGUUGGGGACUCACGGGAGACUGCCGGUGACAAACCGGAGGAAGGUGGGGACGACGUCAAAUCAUCAUGGCCCUUAUGUCCUGGGCUACACACGUGCUACAAUGGCCGGUCCAAUGGGAGGCGAAGGGGCGACCUGGAGCAAAUCCCCAAAGCCGGUCUCAGUUCGGAUUGCAGGCUGCAACUCGCCUGCAUGAAGCUGGAAUUGCUAGUAAUCGCGGAUCAGAACGCCGCGGUGAAUACGUUCCCGGGCCUUGUACACACCGCCCGUCACACCACGAGAGUCGGCAACACCCGAAGCCGGUGAGCUAACCGCAAGGAGGUAGCCGUCGAAGGUGGGGCUGAUAAUUGGGGUGAAGUCGUAACAAGGUA